AGUGAAAUCUUUAAUGUGUGUCACUGCUUGAACCAAUCUUUCCAUAACAGAAAAGCCAUGAUGACCACUUGGUCCAAUCCACCAACGUCUGUUAAAGGUAGAGAGAUCUCUCCCUUGGUUUUGAUCCUCAAGACUUGAUCUUUCUGGACAAUCUUGACCAUACAUCUGAGAUAAGCUAUUAGAUGUGUCUUGCGUUGGAGACCACAUGAAGGAAGAAGGAUCAAAAGGGGCUACAGAAGUUGAAGGACUAAAAUUAAGGAACUCGGAUGCAUCUGUUGUCUCUAACCAGCAACCUUCUAGAAGUAAUCCGUCCAUGAAUGAAGAAUCCAUAGCUGGAUCCAUAGGAAGAGAAUUGUUUUCCAUAGCUCACUCAAAUCAAUGAAGCCACAUCUGAAAAAACAAAGUAUCCAUUUUUCACCAAACCCCAAACAAAUUAAGAUGAAACAGAACAGAACAGAAAAAGAACCACACAUUUCAGGAAGAGAAUCAAAUCAAAGCAAAAAUCUUGUAAUAGAAAAGAAACUGAGAAUCAAGAUUAGUGAAAAGCCCUAACUUUUCUUUUUAAGGUUGAUUCUUACAAGUUGGUUAAAUAUACCCUAAUCUCUUGUGGGUUAAGAGAUACUGAUUUAACACCAAUCAAAGAAGGAAUAUUUUUUAACACUAAUCUGAUUCCUGAUUAACAAAAAAGAUGAGACUUUUG